rnacentral:rRNA from 1 species
AUUGAACGCUGGCGGCAGGCCUAACACAUGCAAGUCGAACGAGUGGCGGACGGGUGAGUAAUGUAUGGGAAACUGCCUGAUGGAGGGGGAUAACUACGGGAACGGGUAGCUAAUACCGCAUCCCAUCGGAUGUGCCCAGAGGGGAUUAGCUAGUGUGUGGGGUAACGGCUCACCAAGGCGACGAUCACUAGCUGGUCUGAGAGGAUGACCAGCCACACUGGAACUGAGACACGGUCCAGACUCCUACGGUAGGCAGCAGUGGGGAAUAUUGCACAAUGGGCGCAAGCCUGAUGCAGCCAUGCCGCGUGUAUGAAGAAGGCCUUCGGGUUGUAAAGUACUUUCAGCGGGGAGGCGUUACCCGCAGAAGAAGCACCGGCUAACUCCGUGCCAGCAGCCGCGGUAAUAC